rnacentral:rRNA from 1 species
GACGAACCGUGCGAACGUUGUUCGGAUUCACUGGGCUUAAAGGGCGCGUAGGCGGGGGGUCAAGUCCGAGGUGAAAUCUUUCGGCUCAACCGGAAAAGUGCCUUGGAUACGGACUCUCUCGAGGGAGGUAGGGGCAUGUGGAACUUCCGGUGGAGCGGUGAAAUGCGUAGAUAUCGGGAAGAACACCGGUGGCGAAGGCGGCGACCUGGUCCUUUACUGACGCUGAGGCGCGAAAGCGUGGGGAGCAAACAGG